rnacentral:rRNA from 1 species
CGUACGGCUCAGUAACACGUAGUCAAUCUACCAUAAAGAGGAGAAUACCCAUGGGAAACUGUGGCUAAUACUCCAUAGGCCAGGGAUUCUGGAAGGAACCCUGACUUAAAGGGGCGCGAAUUGGAGCGUUUCCGCUUUACGAUGAGACUGCGGCGGAUCAGGCAGAUGGCGGGGUAACGGCCCACCAUACCUAUAACCCGUAGGGGAUGUGGGAGCAUAGGCCCCGAGAAGGGCACUGAGACAAGGGCCCUAGCACUACGGUGUGCAGCAGGCGCGCAAACUCCACAAUGCGCGUAAGCGUGAUGGGGGGAAUCUGAGUGGUUCACUUUGUGAACCUUUUGCCAAGUAUAGCAAGCUUGGCGAAUAAGUGCUGGGCAAGACCGGUGGCAGCCGCCACGGUAAUACCGGCAGCACAAGUGGUGUCCACGAUUAUUGGGCUUAAAGCGCUCGUAGCCAGCUGAUGCCGUCUUGCGUGAAAUAUUGGCGCUCAACGUCAAUGCGUGCGCGAGAUACCCAUCGGCUAGGGAGCGGGUGAGGUCAGGAGUACUUAUAGGGGAGGGGUUAAAUCCUGUAAUCCUAUAAGGACUAACGGUGGCGAAGGCGCCUGACUAGAACGCAUCCGACGGUGAGGAGCGAAGGCUAGGAGAACGAAUCGGAUCAGAUACCCUCGCAGCAAUGUUCGACUGCAUUGGGGGCAAGGACCGAAAGGGCCUUUUCCUCAAAGGCACGGACGAGGCUGACGAGAUGGUGCUCGAGAGGCUAAACAUACACACAUUGAGGAAUGGCAGCAAGAUUUAUUUUGCUAACCAGUCCUCGUUCAUUUCGCUUAUAAAAGAUUACAGCCUUAGAAUUGCGAGCAUUAUUCAUUGACCCGGAAACGAGCGAGACCCUCGCUUACAGUUGCUACCGGUUUAGAGAUAAGCCGGGCACUCUGUAAGGACCGCCUCUGUUUAAAGAGGAGGAAGGAGAGGGCGACGAUACGUCAGUAUGCUCUGAAUCUUCUGGGCUACACGCGGCAUACAAAGGUCGGCACAAUGAGAUGCAACACCGAAAGGUGAAGCCAAUCCCCUAAAACCGGCCCAAGUUCGGAUUGAGGGCUGAAACCCGCCCUCAUGAAGCUGGAAUCCCUAGUAAUCGCUUGUCACUAUCGAGCGGUGAAUACGUCCCUGCUCCUUGCACACACCGCCUACCAAGCCACCCAAGUGAGGUCUUAGUGAGGCAGCGCCGAUGGCGUUUUCGAACUAAGGUUUCGCGAGGUGGGCUAAGGUAUAACAAGGUAUCCGUAGGGGAACCUGCGGAUAGAUCACCUCAAAAGGGC